rnacentral:rRNA from 1 species
UGUGCCUACGGGAGGCAGCAGUGAGGAAUAUUGGUCAAUGGACGCAAGUCUGAACCAGCCAUGCCGCGUGCAGGAAGACGGCUCUAUGAGUUGUAAACUGCUUUUGUACGAGGGUAAAUCCCGAUACGUGUAUCGGGUUGAAAGUAUCGUACGAAUAAGGAUCGGCUAACUCCGUGCCAGCAGCCGCGGUAAUACGGAGGAUUCAAGCGUUAUCCGGAUUUAUUGGGUUUAAAGGGUGCGUAGGCGGAAGGUUAAGUCAGCGGUCAAAUGUCGGUGCUCAACACCGGCCUGCCGUUGCAACUGGG